GCCCUCAGCAGUGGACAAAGAGACACCUUGUUGGUGGUGGUGUUCUUAUAUCAGUCAGUGGCAGAGCAGUUGGCAGUCUUUUGCUCAUCCUAUCUUGAUGUCUGGCUUGGUGGCCAAAGCUGUUUUAUGCCUAAGAUUCAUAA